rnacentral:misc_RNA from 1 species
CCUUUUGGACUCUCUAUGAUUGGCAUGGACUGGGGGGCGACCUCAGCAUCUUAAUCAUAGACAGUUUAACAAGUACAAGUAGUGAGAGGAGUUGAGUGAAUCAAGAACGAAGUAUAAGGGAUCAAAAAUGAGAGCCAGACUUGGUGUUGCCAAGUUCUCGACUGAUGGCCUUGGUUGAGAUUCUCAAAGCUACAAGUUGGAAGGAUGGACUGGGGGAGACAAGAGGUCUCUGGCAGGGCGGUUGAGGACUAGACCAGGCCCCUUUGGACAGGAGCAAGGCCUCAGAGGUAGGCGGACGGUGCUGUCAGAGGCUGAGGUCUCGAUGUGAAGUCAGAGUUGAGAGCUGGCAGGCUUGGGUCUGUACCGGUGAGCAUACUAGGAGCUGCAAAGACCAAGUAUGAGUGCUGGUGAGCCUAAGUCUGCCUGCUCUCGUGUGUGUCCUUCCAAGAGCGACAG